UGAACGCUGGCGGCAGGCCUAACACAUGCAAGUCGAACGGUAACAGGAAGCAGCUUGCUGCUUCGCUGACGAGUGGCGGACGGGUGAGUAAUGUCUGGGAAACUGCCUGAUGGAGGGGGAUAACUACUGGAAACGGUAGCUAAUACCGCAUAACGUCGCAAGACCAAAGAGGGGGACCUUCGGGCCUCUUGCCAUCGGAUGUGCCCAGAUGGGAUUAGCUAGUAGGUGGGGUAACGGCUCACCUAGGCGACGAUCCCUAGCUGGUCUGAGAGGAUGACCAGCCACACUGGAACUGAGACACGGUCCAGACUCCUACGGGAGGCAGCAGUGGGGAAUAUUGCACAAUGGGCGCAAGCCUGAUGCAGCCAUGCCGCGUGUAUGAAGAAGGCCUUCGGGUUGUAAAGUACUUUCAGCGGGGAGGAAGGUGUUGAGGUUAAUAACCUCAGCAAUUGACGUUACCCGCAGAAGAAGCACCGGCUAACUCCGUGCCAGCAGCCGCGGUAAUACGGAGGGUGCAAGCGUUAAUCGGAAUUACUGGGCGUAAAGCGCACGCAGGCGGUCUGUCAAGUCGGAUGUGAAAUCCCCGGGCUCAACCUGGGAACUGCAUUCGAAACUGGCAGGCUAGAGUCUUGUAGAGGGGGGUAGAAUUCCAGGUGUAGCGGUGAAAUGCGUAGAGAUCUGGAGGAAUACCGGUGGCGAAGGCGGCCCCCUGGACAAAGACUGACGCUCAGGUGCGAAAGCGUGGGGAGCAAACAGGAUUAGAUACCCUGGUAGUCCACGCCGUAAACGAUGUCGACUUGGAGGUUGUGCCCUUGAGGCGUGGCUUCCGGAGCUAACGCGUUAAGUCGACCGCCUGGGGAGUACGGCCGCAAGGUUAAAACUCAAAUGAAUUGACGGGGGCCCGCACAAGCGGUGGAGCAUGUGGUUUAAUUCGAUGCAACGCGAAGAACCUUACCUACUCUUGACAUCCAGAGAACUUAGCAGAGAUGCUUUGGUGCCUUCGGGAACUCUGAGACAGGUGCUGCAUGGCUGUCGUCAGCUCGUGUUGUGAAAUGUUGGGUUAAGUCCCGCAACGAGCGCAACCCUUAUCCUUUGUUGCCAGCGGUCCGGCCGGGAACUCAAAGGAGACUGCCAGUGAUAAACUGGAGGAAGGUGGGGAUGACGUCCAGUCAUCAUGGCCCUUACGAGUAGGGCUACACACGUGCUACAAUGGCGCAUACAAAGAGAAGCGACCUCGCGAGAGCAAGCGGACCUCAUAAAGUGCGUCGUAGUCCGGAUUGGAGUCUGCAACUCGACUCCAUGAAGUCGGAAUCGCUAGUAAUCGUGGAUCAGAAUGCCACGGUGAAUACGUUCCCGGGCCUUGCACACACCGC
rnacentral:rRNA from 1 species